rnacentral:rRNA from 1 species
UACGUAGGGGGCUAGCGUUGUCCGGAAUCAUUGGGCGUAAAGCGCGUGUAGGCGGUCCGGUAAGUCCGCUGUGAAAGUCGAGGGCUCAACCCUCGAAUGCCGGUGGAUACUGUCGGGCUUGAGUACGGGAGAGGCGAGUGGAAUUCCUGGUGUAGCGGUGAAAUGCGCAGAUAUCAGGAGGAACACCGAUGGCGAAGGCAGCCCCCUGGGCUAACACUGACGCUCAUGCACGAAAGCGUGGGGAGCAAACAGG